rnacentral:lncRNA from 1 species
CGUUUAACCCUGGAUGCUCAGAGCGGAGGCUCAGAGAGGUUAGACUCCAUGAGAGCUGCACAGCAGCGCGUGGCAGAGUCGACUUCCUUGACUCUCUCUCUGCAGGGCCCUCUCACAUGGUAGAGCAGCCACCGCCCCAAACGACGUGAAAAGCCCGGCACGCCUGCUCCCGUCCCUGACCUGAGGAGGCACUGAAGAUCUACCGGGAGUCAGUCAGGCAUGGAGAGGCCCGGCAGGGAGACGCAUCGGCUCUCAGGCCUCAGAGUGAAUUGUCACAAGUGAUUAACUGCUUCAGCAGCAACACUCUUGGAACCAUCCUUGGCAUUCGGCUCCUGCGUGCGUCUCCUGAGCUCACCAGUAGACACGUCACGUGUCCACGGAGAGGAGAAGUGGAGGCAGGAGCUUGGACUCUCUGACCUCCAGGACUCUCAAGGCGAAGU